rnacentral:lncRNA from 1 species
AGCCUUAGCAUAAGGCUUAUCAAGGAUGGAUCUGUAAAGAUGGGAAACGAGUGAAAUCGCACAACACUUGUAGCGGGUGCUCUUACUCCGGGCACGCAAGUCCGGCCAUUGGCCCCACUAAGCAGAGACCCUCUUUCCUUCUCUAAUGAUUAUUUUGGCGGAAAUUUAGAUAGCCCCCCACCCCCACCCCCCACCCACCUGAUUGGCUUACUCGUGUAAGUAGCUUUCCCGGUAUCGCCGAGUGAGGAGGGGCACGCACCGAACCGAUGCACCAACAGCUGUGCGCCUGCUUUGCGGCUUGCCUCCUGUCCCGCCUGAUGAUAUCUCCUUUUGCUGUACCUGAUGCUAAGUGUUGUACAAUAUUUGGUUGCUUCUUCCCUCUCAGAUACAGUCUGUUCGUCUCGAUGGAUUCUUCUGUAUUGGUGGCCAAGGACUAGAUACGCCUAGUAGGCCACUCACUGUUAGUGCAGCUUUGCUUUCAACUGUACCGAAACAGCAUAUUGCCAAAAGGAAAGGCGCCAUGUAGCUAGUGCAACUUUUGUAUAGUGCUGGGCNNNN